rnacentral:rRNA from 1 species
AUGGCCAGCGUGCAGACCUUCCACAGGUUGCACUGUGCGUGUGGCAGGCAAUGCGCAAGGCGCAAUGGAUCCUCGGUGGCUAGGCGCGACAAGUUCUAUCUGAACUGUGUCAAUUACAAUGUACAAGGUGCCAGGUUUUGCGAAGUGUACCUCUGGGAGGAUGACCUCGACAGGUACACGAACCAGCGUUACCAAUCUGCUGUUGAUCUUGCCAACUACCACAAGACUCGUCACGAGAGGUACGAGGAGAAGCUGAACAAGGUUUAUGAAGAGCUCAAGGAGGCAUAUGCUGAGAUAAGGAAGCUCAAGAGGACGAACAAGGCACUCCAGAUGGCUUUAGUGGCUACUGCACCAGUGGCUGCAAUCGUAGCGAUCACGUCUGCAUGGGUGGCUAAGUGA